AUAGAUACCCGGUAGUCCAUGCCGUAAACGUUGGGCGCUAGAUGUGGGGACCAUUCCACGGUUUCCGUGUCGCAGCUAACGCAUUAAGCGCCCCGCCUGGGGAGUACGGCCGCAAGGCUAAAACUCAAAGGAAUUGACGGGGGCCCGCACAAGCGGCGGAGCAUGCGGAUUAAUUCGAUGCAACGCGAAGAACCUUACCAAGGCUUGACAUAUACGAGAACGCUCUAGAAAUAGAGAACUCUUUGGACACUCGUAUACAGGUGGUGCAUGGUUGUCGUCAGCUCGUGUCGUGAGAUGUUGGGUUAAGUCCCGCAACGAGCGCAACCCUCGUUCUAUGUUGCCAGCGGUUCGGCCGGGAACUCGUAGGAGACUGCCGGGGUCAACUCGGAGGAAGGUGGGGAUGACGUCAAAUCAUCAUGCCCCCUAUGUCUUGGGCUUCACGCAUGCUACAAUGGCCGGUACAAAGGGCUGCAAUACCGUAAGGUGGAGCGAAUCCCAAAAAGCCGGUCUCAGUUCGGAUUGAGGUCUGCAACUCGACCU
rnacentral:rRNA from 1 species